GCCAUUGGUUCCUUACUAAUCAAACCGCGGCAAAGAAAUAAACGUCCAACAUGAUUGUUUUUUUUUUUGAAGAGAGAAGUUCAAUUCAGUUCAGUUCAGUUCAGUUCAAUUCAAUUCAGUUCGCUUUAAAUUGUAUAGCGCUUUUAUACAAGUGAGAUUGUCACAAAACAGAUUUACAGAAAUAUAUAAACUUCCAAUCUAAAUUUUAAAUUCAAUUUUAAAUUCAUCCCUAAUGAGCAGGCCAGAGGUGACGGUGGCAAGAAAAAAACCUCCCUGAGAUAUGAGGAAGAAACCUAGAGAGGAACCAGACUCAAAUGGGACCCAUCCUCAUCUGUGUAACAACAUCUUGAUGGAGAAAUUUGGGUGUCACAGCAGCAGCAAGACAGGCUGAUGAGAUGAUGAGGAGCAGAUGCGUUUGCUGAUUCAAACAGGAGGGGGAGCAGAGUGGAGUGCCAUGCCCAGGGAGACACACAAACACACUCAAACAGGAGGAGAGGGAGAGACAAACACGGGUAACACAAGGAAGGGGGAAAAUAGAUAAACACAAG
ensembl:lncRNA